AUGCCACCCUCACACAGCAUGCAAGUGUGUGCAGAGCUGAUGUCACAAUGUUCUUUGUGCUGUUCCCCCAAGUUCUCACUAGCUUCACACACACCCUUGGUUCUCUCCAUGUCCACAUUUGUUUUACUCCAGAUGAAGCUGCGCAAAUAUGGAGACAAGGUGAUACAACUCUUCUUUGGCUAUUCAGUCAUCAGACAGCAAAGGCUUUCAAGGAUGAGCAACAGAUCUGUGGUAAAGCAAAAGGCAAGAAAAGAUGAGGAGUUUCCUGCAGAUUUCCAAUGUGAACUUGUCUACCCAGUGCCCCUUGAGAAGAUAAGUUCAAAAUUUCAGGCUCUCAAUGGGUCACCCAGUCUUCCUCCUCUUCCAAGCAGAAUAUCUGCUCUAGUCCUGACAGCCGUUUGUCUAGCCCAUAUUCAAAGAUCACCAUUGAUGGAGAUCAUUCUGCCUCCAGGCGAUCUGUCUUCCACAUCACUUUUCAUGAGAGAUUGUUCUCUGUAUGUGUCUUGAAUGUGUAGCUACUACCUGGCCUAGUCACUGAGAACAUCAAAAGAAAAAGCUUUUUUCUUUCUUCAUAAGAGUUUGUAAAUCAGCACACCUGAUGGAUUUUUCUUGUUGGUUGUUGUUGUUGCUUUUAUUUUGCAUUUUUUCACUUUUCAAUGAGUGUUGUGUACCAUUAACUGCAGUAAUGGGAGUUCAGAUCUGAAAACAGUGCCUGACUCUACUGCACUGUCAAACGUCAGCUGUGGAUGCUAAAAGACCUAAAGUUUGUAGUUCAGAUGAGUUUAGAUGGUGUAUUUUGGCUGUGAUCCAGCAUGGCUUACAAAUCCACUUGAUGCAGAGAUAGAAGCCAUAACAAGCUGGGCUGAUGGGCUGCUAGCCAGGCUCUUUUAAGUACUGGAAGAAACCUGUUUCAUGAGUUGGAUAUAAGCUAUGUAAUAGAGCCAGAGACAAAAUCCCAACGUUAAUGUCCAAGAUUACCAGCUUCUCAUGCAGCUUGUCGGGGGGCCAGGCACCCCCAGAAUGCCAGGAAAUGUCUGGUAGCUGUCAUAUGCAGGCAUUCUGUGAGGCACAAAGAAAUUGCAUCAAGGCUUUUCAAACUUAAACAUCAGAAAAUGCUACAAAAUGCUCUCAGAAGUCAAAAACACUCUUGAGAAGUAAUCUUGGCCUCUCAGGACAGCAACCGUGAUGCUGGACGCUCGGUUCCUAUUCCAGCUUUUGCCACUCAAGUAUGAAUGCAAAAUACAGGAGCAUAUUGUCUGCUGUCACAACUCAUCUGCGAAGCAGAUGUUUCUUUUGGGGCAAUUAUUCAUGCUAAAGAUCACUCUUCAAAGUAAACAAUAAUUGUCAUUUGUUGCCUGUUAAAACAAACAACAAAAAAAGCUGGAAAUCGAACUAAUGAGUACAUUUCCUCAAGGGAACAGACAGAGCAGGGAAUAUGAUCCUUUUGCAAAACUUCUGAUAAAUACAUAGGUUGCUCUGAAAGAAAUGCCUCUUUCUAUCUGUGGAA
rnacentral:lncRNA from 1 species